rnacentral:rRNA from 1 species
GACGAACGCUGGCGGCGUGCUUAACACAUGCAAGUCGAACGAAGAGCGAUGGAAGCUUGCUUCUAUCAAUCUUAGUGGCGAACGGGUGAGUAACGCGUAAUCAACCUGCCCUUCAGAGGGGGACAACAGUUGGAAACGACUGCUAAUACCGCAUACGAUCUGACCUCGGCAUCGAGGAUAGAUGAAAGGUGGCCUCUACAUGUAAGCUAUCACUGAAGGAGGGGAUUGCGUCUGAUUAGCUAGUUGGAGGGGUAACGGCCCACCAAGGCGAGGAUCAGUAGCCGGUCUGGAAGGAUGAACGGCCACAUUGGGACUGAGACACGGCCCAGACUCCUACGGGAGGCAGCAGUGGGGAAUCUUCCGCAAUGGACGAAAGUCUGACGGAGCAACGCCGCGUGAGUGAUGACGGCCUUCGGGUUGUAAAGCUCUGUUAAUCGGGACGAAAGGCCUUUUUGCGAAUAGUGAGAAGGAUUGACGGUACCGGAAUAGAAAGCCACGGCUAACUACGUG